CUACGGGAGGCACCAGUGGGGAAUAUUGGACAAUGGGGGCAACCCUGAUCCAGCAAUGCCGCGUGAGUGAUGAAGGCCUUAGGGUUGUAAAGCUCUUUCGACGGGGACGAUGAUGACGGUACCCGUAGAAGAAGCCCCGGCUAACUUCGUGCCAGCAGCCGCGGUAAUACGAAGGGGGCUAGCGUUGUUCGGAAUUACUGGGCGUAAAGGGCGCGUAGGCGGUCUUGUAAGUCAGAUGUGAAAGCCCCGGGCUCAACCCGGGAAUAGCAUUUGAUACUGCGAGGCUUGAGUCCGGGAGAGGAUGGCGGAAUUCCCAGUGUAGAGGUGAAAUUCGUAGAUAUUGGGAAGAACACCGGUGGCGAAGGCGGCCAUCUGGACCGGUACUGACGCUGAGGCGCGAAAGCGUGGGGAGCAAACAGGAUUAGAUACCCCGGUAGUC
rnacentral:rRNA from 1 species